rnacentral:rRNA from 1 species
CAGCAGCCGCGGUAAUACAGAGGGUGCGAGCGUUAAUCGGAUUUACUGGGCGUAAAGCGUGCGUAGGCGGCUUCUUAAGUCGGAUGUGAAAUCCCUGAGCUUAACUUAGGAAUUGCAUUCGAUACUGGGAAGCUAGAGUAUGGGAGAGGAUGGUAGAAUUCCAGGUGUAGCGGUGAAAUGCGUAGAGAUCUGGAGGAAUACCGAUGGCGAAGGCAGACAUCUGGCCUAAUACUGACGCUGAGGUACGAAAGCAUGGGGAGCAAACAGGAUUAGAUACCCGGGUAGUCCCUGUCUCUUAUAU